UACGUAGGGGGCAAGCGUUGUCCGGAUUUAUUGGGCGUAAAGAGCGUGUAGGCGGCCAGACAGGUCAGCUGUGAAAACUCGAGGCUCAACCUCGAGACGUCGGUUGAAACCGUCUGGCUGGAGUCCGGAAGAGGAGAGUGGAAUUCCCGGUGUAGCGGUGAAAUGCGCAGAUAUCGGGAGGAAUACCGGUGGCGAAGGCGGCAUCCUGGACCGACAUUGACGCUGAGGAGCGAAAGCCAGGGGAGCAAACGGG
rnacentral:rRNA from 1 species